GGAAGGGCUGUAGCUCAGUGGUAAAACACCUGCUUUGCAUGCAGAAGGCCACAGGUUUAAUCCCCAACACCUCCA